rnacentral:rRNA from 1 species
ACACAUGCAAGUCGAACGGGAUCCAUCAGGCUUUGCUUGGUGGUGAGAGUGGCGAACGGGUGAGUAAUGCGUGACCGACCUGCCCCAUACACCGGAAUAGCUCCUGGAAACGGGUGGUAAUGCCGGAUGCUCCGACUCCUCGCAUGGGGUGUCGGGAAAGAUUUCAUCGGUAUGGGAUGGGGUCGCGUCCUAUCAGGUAGUCGGCGGGGUAACGGCCCACCGAGCCUACGACGGGUAGCCGGCCUGAGAGGGCGACCGGCCACAUUGGGACUGAGAUACGGCCCAGACUCCUACGGGAGGCAGCAGUGGGGAAUAUUGCACAAUGGGCGCAAGCCUGAUGCAGCGACGCCGCGUGCGGGAUGACGGCCUUCGGGUUGUAAACCGCUUUUGAUCGGGAGCAAGCCUUCGGGUGAGUGUACCUUUCGAAUAAGCACCGGCUAACUACGUGCCAGCAGCCGCGGUAAUACGUAGGGUGCAAGCGUUAUCCGGAAUUAUUGGGCGUAAAGGGCUCGUAGGCGGUUCGUCGCGUCCGGUGUGAAAGUCCAUCGCUUAACGGUGGAUCUGCGCCGGGUACGGGCGGGCUGGAGUGCGGUAGGGGAGACUGGAAUUCCCGGUGUAACGGUGGAAUGUGUAGAUAUCGGGAAGAACACCAAUGGCGAAGGCAGGUCUCUGGGCCGUUACUGACGCUGAGGAGCGAAAGCGUGGGGAGCGAACAGGAUUAGAUACCCUGGUAGUCCACGCCGUAAACGGUGGAUGCUGGAUGUGGGGCCCGUUCCACGGGUUCCGUGUCGGAGCUAACGCGUUAAGCAUCCCGCCUGGGGAGUACGGCCGCAAGGCUAAAACUCAAAGAAAUUGACGGGGGCCCGCACAAGCGGCGGAGCAUGCGGAUUAAUUCGAUGCAACGCGAAGAACCUUACCUGGGCUUGACAUGUUCCCGACAGCCGUAGAGAU